UGUGUGUGUGUGUAGGGCAUAGGUGCCGAUUCCGUGGAUGCUCGGGCCCAGUAGCACCCACGGAAAAUGAUGAGCAUCCAGUGCCGGCGCUCAGGGCAGCAGGCCCAGGGCACCGUACUGCACGGACAGCACAGCGGCAGCAGCACACUACAGCCCUGGGAGCUGCCUGUAUUCCCGGAUGUGGCUCCCAAUCCCCACUGCCCUGGAGCAAAGGUGACGGAGAAUAGGCACGGACCAGUUAACAUCCUAGGUGCGGAUUGGCCAAGGCUCCUCACUGGGAAGAUUUUGGCAUUUGGCCCCGUCCCCCUGUUUGAUCACUCUCGUUAGAUGGACAUUUACUACCUGCCGUCGGCUCUGCACCUCCUGCUAUGGGAUGGGAAACUGGAGGAAAAUCCUGUAAAUCUUCUGGGGGGACAAGUGCACUUUUGUAAAGUCCAGUCAACUAAGAGAAGAGCCAUGAUUUACCCAAGAGAAGAGCAAUGGUUACUUCAGCAUACUAAUUGAGCUGGUGUGCCCUCGUACAACUAACCUUAAUAUACCAUACAGCGAGAUGCACAACACAACUGACCCACUCCAAUAGAGUUGAGAAGCAUUUGUUUCCUUGAAUGUUGCAUCUUAUUUGCAUCGCAGACACAACAAGCACCGCUCACAGUGUACCAGAGAUGCUGCAACCUCAACCACACAGGAAGUAGUUUUAAAUAUGUAUAAAGUUGUACAUGAAGCACAAUGGAACUUGGCGCGAGAAAAAGAGAGAUGGAUAAAAAGUACCAACCAAUCAGCUUCUGUC